rnacentral:rRNA from 1 species
AAGGAUUCCCCUAGUAACUGCGAGUGAAGAGGGAAAAGCUCAAAUUUAAAAUCUGGCUGUUCUUGCAGCAGUCCGAGUUGUAGUUUAGAGAAGUGUUAUCCGCGCUGGCCUGUGCAAAAGUUUCUUGGAAAAGAACAUCGUAGAGGGUGACAAUCCCGUCUUUGGCACAGAUAACUGGGGCUUUUGUGAUGCRCUCUCGACGAGUCGUGUUGUUUGGGAAUGCAGCACUAAAUGGGUGGUAAAUUCCAUCUAAAGCUAAAUAUUGGCGAGAGACCGAUAGCGAACAAGUACCGUGAGGGAAAGAUGAAAAGAACUUUGAAAAGAGAGUUAAACAGUACGUGAAAUUGUUGAAAGGGAAACGCUUGAAGUCAGUCAUGUCUUCCAGGGAUCAAGUUACCCUUUGGGGUUACUGCACUUUCUGGUUGAUGGGUCAGCAUCAAUUUUGACUGUUGGACAAAGGCCUAGGGAAUGUGGCAUCUUCGGAUGUGUUAUAGACUUAGGUUGGAUACAAUGGUUGGGAUUGAGGAACUCAGUGUGCCUUCAUGGUUGGGGCUUUUUAUGCUCACACUGCACACUUAGGAUGCUGGCAUAAUGGCUUUAAUCGACCCGUCUUGAAACACGGACCAAGGAGUCUAACAUGCCUGCGAGUGUUUGGGUGGAAAACCCAAGCGCGUAAUGAAAGUGAAAGUUGAGAUCUCUGUCAGGGAGAGCAUUGACGCCCGGACCAGACCUUUUGUGACGGAUCUGCGGUAGAGCAUGUAUGUUGGGACCCGAAAGAUGGUGAACUAUGCCUGAAUAGGGUGAAGCCAGAGGAAACUCUGGUGGAAGCUCGUAGCGAUUCUGACGUGCAAAUCGAUCGUCAAAUUUGGGUAUAGGGGCGAAAGACUAAUCGAACCAUCUAGUAGCUGGUUCCCGCCGAAGUUUCCCUCAGGAA